ACUCUCUCUUCUCGCGUAUAAUAAUACAGUGAGCAGAGUUUACCCUCUCGUUUGCUUAGACUCAGCCUUCCGUUACAUGCAUAAACAUUCGCCUUACGUUUACAUUUCAGAUAGAAAUCGAAACCCUAGCUUCAUAGUGAAGUAGUCAGGAUCUUUUCUCUCUGUUACCAACAUUUUCAAUCCAGAGCUUCAUGUACAUUUUAGAGAGAAAUCGAAACCAUAAUUGCCAACCCAGCUGUUGAGUUCGUUAAUCGGUCUGUUCUAUUUGAUUUUGGAGGUAAAUCGAUAUUGAUUUGUCAAAACUGGCCAACAAUCAGUGUUAUAUUCAUUUUUGUCCGCUCGAAGGAAAUAUGAGGCGUACUAAGAAAGCCAAAUGUGCUAAGGGCUCCAUGACAAGUGGAGCACAAGAGACACUGCAGAAGCAACCUCAUAUGGUCCAACCAAGUUCUAGUGGACAGUGGAUUCAUCAGGCUGUCUCCAUGCAAACACAACAAAUUGGCUUGGUGCAAACUCAACAGAGUAGCUCCAUACAAACUCAACAACUUUCCGCAUGCAAAUGCAGCAGUUGUUACAUACACAAAGCAAGUUUAGUUCCAUUCUAGAACAGUCGAGCCCAUCUCAAUAUUGCAGUACUGCUGAAGCUGAAGCCCAUUGAAAAAGAAGGUGGCACUUUGGGUCAAUUUCUAGGUACUAUAGCACGGAGCACUGAGUUGCUGCCCCUGCAUUUUACUGAUUGGAGGAAUUUACGGUAUCAGCUUUAAGAAAACGUUUGGAAGAUAGUCUUGGGAAAAAUUUGAGAUUCCAGACUAUGUUAAAACAUGGGUCCUGCAAUUGAUGGGUAGGAAGUGGAAGAACUUCGAAGAAGCAUUACAAGACACAUGAGACUGGUGAACAGUAAUUGGCAGAUUGUGACGACCGAGUCCUGCCACAGCAGUGGCAGACCCUAGUUCAAUUUUGGAACUCAGGCAAAGGACAGGUGUGAAAAAAAUCUCAGUUUCUGCAGCAACCAAUUGAAAAUUUUCUCAGUUUCUACUACCACUGGACACCAACAAAUAAAAUAAUCUGUCAGCCCUAUUUUCAAAGCCUUGUACUGAUUGCUAUCUUUAAUACGUUUUUCUUAUUUUUAGGAGCGUAGCAUUACUAAUACUGCCAAUCUUUCUAAGCAAAAAAAUAUACACAUAGCAGGGUCAAAAAGCUUUGCACAAAUACGUGAGGAGGAGAACAGCAUAAGAAGAGGCCUAAUGGAGAGGAACCAACCCAGGCAGAUAUGUAUAUACUGACGCACAAUGGAUGGAUGACCAAUGGAUGGAGCAUCUGCAGAAAUUAUUGUAAGUUAAAUAUUAUGAAGCAUCUGCAUAACUUGGGAAUAAGGUUUUUUCACUUAUAAAAAUGUCAAAAUUCGACUGACAUGAAAGGUAAUUUUAUGAAUAAAACAGAUAAAAUCCAUUCCAGUUAAAGGUCACAGUGGUUACUGUACUGCUUGGGCAAUUAGCUCUGUCUGGCAGACGAGAAAGUGUAAGAAAAGAAACUGUAGUUGCAAUUUUACUUUCACAAAAACUAGGUGCCCUAAAAAAUACACCCAUACUUGGCUUAGCUGAAACAGAUUGAUUUUUUUAUAGAAAACUACAAAGAUAUGAUAGAUCAAAAUUUGGUUUCUUAUACUUAGUUUAGUUUCUCAGCAACCAAACACUUACCUUUUCCCUGAGAAUGUGAUGAGAUGAUUCAGAACAAGAAACGAAGGAUAAGGAAAAAAAGAAAAGACUAAAAAUAUAGAGAAUGUAAGCGUUAUCCAUCAAACUAUUAUUACUGCAGAGAAAAUCUUCAUAUCUUAAAUCUUAAAGGGAGAAAUAGAGUUUUAUAGAAGUGGAAGUUUGAAAUCAACAUGGUCAAAUCUCCAUUUCAGCAUAUUAUUUCCAAAAUUUCUAGACGCCCCAUUGAGUGUUGAUUUAUAAUAUUAUUUUUCUUACAGUUUCGGUACCAUUAGUAAAGUAAAGAUCCUUUAGGCUUUGAGAUACACCACAUUUUGUACCACCGCAGAGGAUCCGAAUGCGGACGUAUUGGCGUAAUAAAGAAAUUCAUUUAUUGCUUUGUGGCUUUGUUUUUUAGUUUUAUUUUUGUAAAUUUAAAAGAAGCAAAAAUCGGGCAAUAGUACGAAUUGAAUCUAUUUACCCCCCUCUAGAUAUUUUUAAAGUAUAAUUCCGUAACCAUUCCAUGUAAAUAACUCACUAUUUCCUCCAGAACCAGGUAAUUUUGCUUGUAAUUUUGAUAUCCCAUAGAGUCUUGUGCUUGAUCAGAUAUUUGUGAGUCCAAAUCUUCCAAAAGCUGUCAUCGUUUACCUGUAAUGAUGCGUCUUAAUAUUCAAGCUUUGUUCCACAUUUGGAUGUUAGGUAUUCCUAGUCCUCCAUUUUCCUUUGGCCUGCACACUUCUUCCCAAGUAACUUUUGCCCUAAACUUGCCCAUAGAAAUCUUUGGAGAAUGUUGUCAAUUUUAUUGCAAACUGAUAAGCAGGUUUGUCCGUAAAUGUGAUACAAAACAAAGUAGACUGAAUCAAUUGUAGCCUUCCUACAAAAGAAAGAGCUCUUGCAAUCUGAUUAGUAAUUCUUGAGAGCAUGAUGUCAAUGAGUGACUGGCAAUCAGCUGCACUAAGCCUGAUUGUAACAAGAGGAAUACCAAGAUAUCUAAAUGGUAAAAUGCCACAACUGAAAUAAGGAGCAUAUAUCAUUCUUUGAGGUGCUAGAGACAGAACUGGAGUAAAGAUGGACUUUAUUGGGAUUGGGGUAAAGGCCAGACAGGUUUGAGAAUGUGUCAAGUGCUUUCUUAAGGGUUCUUGUUGACUGAAUUUCCCCAUCAUCAUCAGCAAAUGAAAUGUGGGAAAUCCUCAAGACUUUACAUCUUCAAUGAAAGGUAAAUUAUAGAUUAUUGGAUGUCAAGAUAUUGGUAUUUUGAGGAGAAGCAGUCCAUUGCAAUCACAAAUAGGUAGGGGGAUAGAGGAUCCCUAGCCUCAAGCCUUUAAUACUAUUGAAAAAUCCACAUAAUUCUCCAUCUACAGAAACCGAAAAUGAUGCUGAAGAAAUACAAGUUUUAACCCAAGAAAUGAACACCAUUGGGAAAUUCAUGAGCUCAAGAAGGUUAAUUAGAGACUGCCAGUUUAGGUUAUCAUAGGCUUUGUUGAUAUCAACCUUUAGGGUGCAUCUAGGUGAGUAAAGGUUUCUAUGAUAUUCCCUUAACAACUCUUGAGCUACAAUGAUAUUAUCCCCAAUCUAUGCUACUAAUUUGAACAUGGUAUUUUUUUUGGAAACCAAUAUUAUUAGAAGUCUAUAUUAGGCCUUUUUUUCCAAUUAUUAUUUGCUUGAUUUAGGAAAUAUGUUAUUUCCUUCUUCUUCUUUUUUUCUACCAAGGAUCAAUUUAGGGCCUAGAACCCUAUCAUCUCGUAUCAGAUAUCUGAGCCCUCCCAUCUCUUUCUAUUUUAUUAAUUAUCUUCGAGUUCAUUAGUGUCCUCAAUAUGACCAGUUAAGGAACUCGAAGAACAAGUUGCUGCUGUUACUAAUGAGAUCAAAAGGAUUAAUCGACACAAACCUAAAGUUAAUUAUUACUACUAAUAGAUUGUUUCAAUAAAGUGGUUGCUUCAUUGCUCUAAGAGCCAUUUUCUCAUGCUUUGUAGUGCUAUUCGUAUCCACUAAUUAGUUUUAUGCUUAUAGAUCAUAUCACACAAUCUCCACUGCCAUUUACUAUGAAAAAUUAUACAUAGUCGGCCUAUAGGAGCCAAAUAUUGCUCUGAAUCCAUCCAACGUGGCAUAGGCAUGUCAUCUGCUCUUCAGACGUCUGAUUACAAGUCCAUUUCUCUUAACCAUCAAUCUUAAAAGGUGAGGAAAUGUCAUUAGAAUCGGUCCCUCAUCAAGAAAUUCAUAAUCCGAUACCUGUACCGCAAGCACAUUUUCAUUUACUAAAGGAAUAUCUGAGGCAUUAGCGAUUGAGUGAUGUGAGGCAUCAUAAAUAUACGAGUCGGGAUACUUCUCUUCACCCUGGUAAACCAGACUAACCCCACACUUCUUCACCCGCCAACAAUAGAGUAUUGAUUCUAGUUCUAUCACCACUUCAUCUCCGCCAUGCAACUCCCCCUCCCCCAAUUCAAGUUGAUGGCUCUGAAUUGGUAUGUAGGAGAGCCACAUAUUAUGCUCGAAACUUGGAAUUGAUCCCCUAGAAUCACCAUCUUGAUUGAAGCUGCAGCCAGUAAAAGAACCACAGAGAAUAAACCCUUGAAUUAUCUGACCCAAGGGCUGAGGGAUCCGAAAAUGUAAGACUCCUCCCUCACACUCGUAGUUGCACCACCUUGGAAACUCGCUCUCAGAAAGAAAAAUGUUGAACUCACCUUGUUCCCGCAGUCCCUGCAGCUCAAAUAAGUAUAGUGAUCAGUCCAAACGACCUGACCUAUGCGAUUCAAAUGCUUCUUUUUGCUAGCUCUUUUUUUUUUAUGUAUAAUCAAAACAUGAACAUUUGUCAUUUAAAAUAAUAAGCCUGGUUUUUAGUACUAUAUACAUAUAUAUAGGAAAAAGAAAACAGAGUAGCAUACCUGAUAACGGAGGAGAUUUCUUCUAAAAUUAUAUGCAAAAUUGUUGUUGACUAAUUUGGGACAACCGUAAAAAAUCAUGAAUGGUGAUUCUUCUACUUUUGAUUCCAUUGAUAUGCUUUGCAAUGAUGUGCAGUAGAUUGCAUUCAAUCUCAAUAAAUUCACUGGAAGAGCCGGAACUGAUUCAAGCCGAGUACAUUGGUUUACAGUUAGGGACUUUAGUAGCGGAAGGCUAGUGGUGGUAGUUGUUUUUCAAAUAUAAUUUCCUGAUGCUGGAUGAUAACUGUAACGACGCAAAGCUUGAUUGAGGUGGC